CGUGCGCACGUCUAAAGUUAGUUAUCUUCCUUUCUGAAUCUUUAUGAUAGAUAUUAGUUGACCUGGAAGUGUCAUCUGUUUGCUUAAUUGGAAUAUGAAUAUGGUAAAUUUUCUUAUUUUUUAAUAGCAGCUGUCCAUUUGUUUUCCAUACUGCCACUUGGAACAACUGAGUCUUCACACCCUCUUGAAAAUACCUGGAUCUCGUUGACUUAUCUCAAGCUGAUUCUUAAGUUACACUGUUGGAUAAACGUGCAAACCCUAAUUUUGAAACUAUCUGCUAGCACAAGAAUAAGUGAAUUUGAAUCCCUGCUUCAAAAUCGCAGCGAGACACCUCCGAGUUGGAUAGAAAUGUUUUCUUGGUCUGAAGCAAUGCAAGAUGAUGAAGGGUAAACUGCGAGUAGUUCAGGGUCAAGUACUUCAAAUCUAGUAAACUUCAAGCUACAUGUUGAACUUACCAGACCCAUCUUGUGAUUGGAUGGAUUUUUAGAAGACUUCUAUAAGGUGAAAUUGAAUGAAUGAUUGCAAUGUUUUAUUUACAUUAAGCUAGUAAAGUACAUUUACUGCUUUGAAACUAAUUCACCAACCAUUAGGUUAUUUAAAAUAAAGCAUAUUGCUAUGACAAUGCCAGAAAGAAUACCUUGCCUUAUUUUAUAACAACCGUUAGCGUUUGAGUGUAAAUUGAUAAAUCUGAUUUGGAUCCUAAUUUCUAAAUGGCUCUCUUCUCAAUACUCUAAGAAUAAUAAAUGCAAUUUCAUAUUAAUAGAUUGCAUUAUAAUUCCCUUAUCAUAUUGUGUUAAAAUUAAGGACAAUUACUGGCAACCAAGUGCGGGAUAUGUAUGUUGUAAUUCGGUAGUUUAAUUUCAUUUCAUAUUUCUAUUAAGAGUAAAUCGGCACAAUAUUUAAGAUGCAUGAAGAGGGAGAAUUUACUCUAAUGUACUAUCAGACUUGCGUUUUUUUUUCUUAAAUUGUGGUAUGCAUUGUUGUAAAAUGCAAUUUGGCUUCCUGUAGGACAGAUCUUGGAUAUGGUUUCGCUGAGAUAAUGAUUGAUAAUACAGGAUGGCCAGAUUUAGUCUGGCUAGGUGGUUGUUCUCCCCGCCCUGUUGGGUAAAAAAAAUUGUAGGUUUGGUCACCCCGUAUUGAUGACGGGAGAUGCCCCUUUCGGAAGGGGUGUACCCAAACCGGUGAUGGACCUUAGGACUCUGCCUUAGUUGGAAAUGGUGGUGUAUAGUUCAGAUUUUAUUCGCAAAUCUCAGGGUGAUCGAAGUAGUCCAUGGUGAUUUGAGAUUUAGUCUGGCUCCAGAGUGAACUGUACGACUUGAUGGCUAUUAAACAUCAAAUGAAAUAUUUCUCAGUCGGUCUUCAUAGCUUCAUCUAUAUGCUAGUCUUCAUCUCAGAAUUUCAUAGUCUUUGUCUUGAUAAGGAAACGGAAAAAUUUUUCACAAAUGUUGGCUUUCCAAAGUUAUAAAUUACAAAUCCUAACAAGUUUGGAUGAUGGGAAAAAGCAAUAAAGGAAAGGUUUAGUUUGAGCAGUUAAUAGAUCCAUAACUCAUACGAGUGGAAAAAAAUAGUUUGGCAUUAUGGCCAAUUUAGGUCAGUGAAUCAAAACUGGCGAUUGUAUUAUAACCUACAACGAAGUUUUAAACUUCAAAUCAAUGCCCCAAAGCCUUCUUAUACAAGUACAAUCACCCUGGUACAAGACUAAAACAUUUUAAAUCCAAACAAGUUCUCCUCAAUAUUCUUUGAACUUCAAUAAUUUGUAUCUCUUUAAAAGAAUGUUGGCAAUGAAUUAAAAAAAAAUUAACUUGUAUAUAAAUUUUUUACACGAUUUCAGUCUUAUGUACAAGAAAUAUAUUCUUAAAUGCUACAUCAAUAAAUAAAACAAUGUUAAAUGUUUGCAGUUUUUCUUUUCGAUCCAAGGAAAAAGGCGCCAAGAAUCGUAUCCGCUCGCUCAGGGAAAACUCUUCUGUAUCUACAUUGAAUGGAAUAUACCAGGAAUCCUGCUACACAUAAAACAAAGAACGUAUGCCCUCGAGAAAAAGUAGUGCACAAAAAAAGGCUAAAUUAGAUACACAAAUACUGAAAUUUAGGUUUUAAUGAUAUUUAUGAAUAUAUUGCUAUCGUACACUAUCGAAUUUUAAGCCCUCUUCAAUCAAUGAGUUUUCAGACAAUGAAAUUCUAGAUCUAGAUAAUUCUAGAUCCCGAUUCUCAAUCCACUUAUUCGGUAGCCCUUAACAUGACUAUUUAGAUGCAGAAGCAAUAUUUCAUUUAGAUAAACAUAAUAGCAGAAAUUAGAACUAAGUAACUAUUUAAGGGAACUUCAGUUUUUCUUCCCAUGCUCCAAUGCUGGGUAUAAAUUAGUUUCUUUACCUAGGAAGAGAUAAAUGGGGAAUACAGGGAGGUGUGUGCGCACGCUUAGGCUUAGG